GAUAAACGCUGGCGGUGUGCCUAACACAUGCAAGUCGAACGCUCUCGUCUUUCGGGACGAGGGAGUGGCGGACGGGUGAGGAACACGUGGGUUAUCUACCAUGAGGUGAGGAAUACCGGUGAGAAAUCAUCGACAAGACCGCAUAGGCUUGGCAACAGGCAAAGCUGCGCAAGCAGCGCCUCAUGAUGAGCCCGCGGCCGAUUAGCUCGUUGGUGCGGUAAUGGCCCACCAAGGCGACGACGGGUAGCCGGCCUGAGAGGGCGACCGGCCACACUGGGACUGAGACACGGCCCAGACUCCUACGGGAGGCAGCAGUGGGGAAUAUUGCGCAAUGGGCGAAAGCCUGACGCAGCAACGCCGCGUGAGGGAUGACGGCCUUCGGGUUGUAAACCUCUUUCAGCAGGGAAGAAGCGAAAGUGACGGUACCUGCAGAAGAAGCACCGGCUAACUACGUGCCAGCAGCCGCCGCAGUAA
rnacentral:rRNA from 1 species